UUCAGAGAAGGACAGCAGAAGAAUUAAUUAAUUUCGUUCGAUGGAUGGAUGGAUGGAUGGAUGGAUGGAUGGAUGGAUGGAUGGAUAGAUAGAUAGAUAGAUAGAUAGUCAAGUCAAGUCAAGUUUAUUUGUAUAGCACAUUUCAGCAGCAGGGCAAUUCAAGGUGCUUUACAUGAAACAAGCAGGCAAAACAUUCAACACAAUUUAAAAAGUAAAAACAGCGUAAAAGACAUUUAACAGAUUAAAAGUUACAUUCAAAGCUAAAAUAAGAUUGGAGAUAAAAGAAAACAAAGGUUAGAUUGGAGAGAUAGAAAAAAAAAAAAAAAGAUCAAGACAGGCAGAUGAUGAAGAUGUUGAUUAAAGGCCUCAGGUUUGAUUUAAUGAUAGGCCACAGCAAACAUAUGCGUUUUCAGCUGUGAUUUAAAAGAGCUGAGAGUUUCAGCAGACCUACAGUUUUCAGGGAGUUUGUUCCAGAUAUGAGGAGCAUAAAAACUAAAAGCUGCUUCUCCACGUUUAGUUCUGACUCUGGGGACAGAGAGCAGACCUGCUCCUGAUGAUCUGAGCGGUCUGGAUGGUUCGUAACGUAUCAGCAUAUCAGAAAUGUAUUUUGGUCCUGAUCCAUUCAGUGCUUUAUAAACCAGCAAUAGUAUCUUAAAAUCAAUUCUUUGACAGACAGGAAGCCAGUGUAAAGAUCUGAGAACUGGGGUGAUAUGAUCUACUUUCUUGGUCUUAGUGAGGACUCGAGCAGCAGCAUUCUGAAUCAGUUGGAGCUGUCUGAUGGAUUUUUUGGGGAGACCUGUGAAGACACUGUUACAGUAGUCAAGUCUGCUGAAGAUAAAUGCAUGGACAAGCUUUUCCAAAUCCUGCUGGGUCAUCAGUCCUUUGACCCUUGAUAUAUUCUUCAGGUGAUAGUAGGCUGACUUUGUAAUUGUCUUUAUGUGGCUGUUAAGAUUCAGGUCUGAGUCCAUGACAACACCAAGGUUUCUGGCUUGGUUUGUGCUUUUUAACAUUAUCGAUUGAAGCUGAGCGCAGACUUUUAAUCGCUCGUCUUCUGCUCCAAAUACAAUUACUUCAGUUUUAUCUUUGUUUAGUUGAAGAAAAUUCUGACACAUCCAAUCGUUGAUUUGUUCAAUACACUGACUCAGUGUUUGUAUUGGAUUGUAGUCGCCUGGCGACAUGGUUAUGUAAAUCUGUGUGUCGUCUGCAUAAUUAUGGUAAGAUAUUUUGUUGUUUGCUAUGAUUUGAGUUAGAGGGAGCAUGUAAAUGUUGAACAGGAGUGGCCCCAGAAUGGAGCCUUGGGGAACCCCACAUGUCAUUUUUGUUCGCUCUGAUGUGUAAUUACCUAGAGACACAAAGUAGUCUCUAUCCUUUAAGUAGGAUGCAAACCAGUUUAGUACUGUUCCAGAAAGUCCCACCCAGUUUUCCAGUCGAUCGAGUAGGAUGCUGUGGUCAACCGUGUCGAAAGCGGCACUGAGAUCGAGCAAUACUAGGACUGAAAUUUUGCCAUUGUCUGAGUUUAAGUGGAUGUCGUUAAAGACUUUGAUAAGAGCAGUCUCAGUGCUGUGAUGCGGUCGAAACCCUGACUGGAAAACGUCAAAACAAUUGUUUAGGACUAAGAAGUUGUGAAGCUGUUGGAAGGCUGCUUUUUCAAUGAUUUUGCUUAAAAACGGGAGGUUCGAUAUAGGCCUAUAAUUGUUCAUUACUGAGUUGUCUAGGUUGCUUUUUUUUAGGAGAGGCUUUAUGACAGCAGUUUUCAGGGCCUGUGGAAAGACACCUGACAGAAGUGACAUGUUGACAAUCUGUAGAAGAUCUGAGGCCAUGCAAUUAGAAACUGUUUUAAAGAAACCUGUUGGCAGAAUAUCAAGGCAGCAGGUGGAGGAGUUCAGAUUUAGUAUGAUGUCCUCCAGGGUUUUAAUGUUGAUCGGGUUGAAUUGUGUCAUGCUACUGGGGUUAGUACACAUGGACAACACAUAUCCUGUACCGGAUAUUGAGCUACUGACUGUUUGUCUAAUUUUCUGGAUUUUGUUAUUGAAGAAGGAGGCAAAUUCAUUACAAGCCUUGGCAGACAGAAAUUCAGAGGCUACUGAUACUGGAGGGUUUGUUAGCCUGUCGACUGUGGUAAAUAGGGCGCGUGCAUUAUUUUUGUUUUUGGUGAUGAUGUCUGAGAAGAAGGAUCGUCUAGCAUUUCUUAGUUCUAGGUUAAAGAUACGAAGUCUCUCUUUAUAGAUCUGAUAGUGAACCUGAAGGCUUGUCUUUCGCCAUCUGCGUUCAGCUUUCCGACACUCUCUUUUUUCAGCUCUAACCAGCGCGGCAUUCCUCCAUGGAGAUCUUUUCUUGCCAGAGACUAUUUUCACCUUGGUGGGCGCAAUGGCAUCCAUCACAUUUGUGAUUCUAGAGCAAAGGUCUUCUACAAGCUCAUUGACCGAGAGCCGUGAGAGAGCUGGGAGAGGAGUCAAAGCCUGAUUAAAUAUUUCACUGGUGUUGUCAGUGAUAAGCCGCUUGGUGAUUACCUCUGUCUGAGCAGUGGUGAAUAACAUAGAGAUAGUACUCUCAAAAAACACACAGGAGUGAUCAGAAAUAGCAACAUCAGUAACCAUGAUUUUGGGUAUGUUUAGGCCCUUGGAAAUAAUUAGGUCUAGAGUGUGACCUCUAUUGUGUGUGGGCUCUGUUACAUGUUGGGUCAAACCAUAGUUAUCAAGGAGACAGCACAAUUCUUUGGUGCCUCUGUCCUGGGGGUUGUCAACGUGAAUGUUAAAAUCACCAACAAUCACUACACAGUCAAAGUCAAUACAGAUUAUAGACAGAAAUUCAGUAAAGUCAUCAAAGAAAUUCACACAGUAUUUAGGAGGUCUGUAGAUGUUAAGGAAUAUUGCUCUAGUAGCAGAGUUCAACUGGAAGGCCACAUAUUCAAAGGAAGGAAAAUUCCCGUAGUACAUCUGUUUACAUUGCAUUGAGUCCUUGAAUAGAAUAGCUACUCCACCUCCUUUUCUAUGCUUCCUCGUUUCACUCAUAAAGCUGAAGUUAGGGGGGGCUGACUCAAUAAGUACAGUUGCACUGUUAUCUUGUUCUAACCAGGUUUCAGUUAAAAACAUUAAGUUGAGAUUGUGCUUGAUGAUAAGAUCGUUGAUUAAGAAUGAUUUUCCAGCUAAAGAUCUGACAUUUAAAAGAGCUGAGUGUAGUGUGCUAGAGAAAUUUUCUGUACUGGUUUUCAUGAUGGGCUGACGGGGGAUGGAGACUAAGUUUGAUAAAUUCUUAGUUAGAUACCUUCUGUUUUUAGGCAGAUUAGUAUGUCUAUUACUUAUUAUGACUGGGAUUUAGAUAGAUAGAUAGAUAGAUAGAUAGAUAGAUAGAUAGAUAGAUAGAUAGAUAGAUAGAUAGAUAGAUAGAACUCCUCCCCUUCUCCUUGUAAUCUCUCCUCUUCUAUGAAUUUACAUUCAGGACGUUCUUACCCAUCACACAGACUCUGAUUGAUACGCUGAGUCGCAUUGCCUCUGAGUGUUAUGUACAUAAUAUGUGUGUGUGCAUGUGUGUGUUUUACAGGGACACGUCCUGACUUUCAUGUCAUACAUUAGCAUUAGUGUCGACAGCAGAAUUUCCAUUAGCAUCUUCACAAAUAUUAGCAUCUCCUCUGUGACAUGAGCACCGUGUCCUUCAGACGAGCUGUUAGCUCUCCUGCAUGUCUUCAAGGAGGAGGGGCAUUAGCAUUUAGCAUAAAAACGUAUUUAAGCUCAAUAUAAGGUCUGAGAUUUAAUUUUACCUCCAGUGUUGAUGUCUUUACAACUGGUGUUCUUUAAACCUUUACAGCUGGGCCAUAGUUUUACAUAUUUGGGGUUUUAAAUGCUUGAUAGUUAAGUCCAAAAUUGGUCCAG